rnacentral:rRNA from 1 species
GACGAACGCUGGCGGCGUGCCUAACACAUGCAAGUCGAACGGAGAUAGGUUGAAAGCUUGCUGGAUACUUAUCUUAGUGGCGGACGGGCGAGUAACGCGUGAGCAACCUGCCCCAGACUGGGGGAUAACGUCGGGAAACCGGCGCUAAUACCGCAUAACACUGCGAAGCCGCAUGGUUUUGCAGUCAAAGCUCCGGCGGUUUGGGAUGGGCUCGCGUCCAAUUAGCUAGUUGGUGAGGUAACGGCCCACCAAGGCGACGAUUGGUAGCCGAACUGAGAGGUUGAUCGGCCGCAUUGGGACUGAGACACGGCCCAGACUCCUACGGGAGGCAGCAGUGGGGAAUAUUGCGCAAUGGGGGAAACCCUGACGCAGCAACGCCGCGUGAAGGAAGAAGGCCUUCGGGUUGUAAACUUCUUUGAUCGGGGACGAAGAUGACGGUACCCGAGGAACAAGCCACGGCUAACUACGUG